rnacentral:snoRNA from 1 species
CCCCUCUCUGGGUUGCACCUGGAGAGUUUCCAGGAUUCAACCAGUCUCGGUUACGGAAGGGAGAGUCAAGCAGAGGUCUACUCAUUCCAUUCCUAGCUUGGGCAGUGGCUAGAGAGUGGAAGGCCAUCUACUAUAAGU